rnacentral:rRNA from 1 species
GGAUGGGAUCUUACCAGCACUAAAGCACCGGAUCCCAUCAGAACUCCGAAGUUAAGCGUGCUUGGGCAAGAGUAGUACUAGGAUGGGUGACCUCCUGGGAAGUCCUCGUGUUGCAUUCC